UCCUUGCUACUCAUCGCUGAGAUAAGCUCUCUGUCCGUCUCAACACCAUUCUCCGCUGUCACCUCUCUUUUGUCAGUACCUCUGUACCAGUACCGCUGUCACCUAAUUUGUGUACCAUCAUUGUUGGUAUUAUUGCAUUCAUUGAUUGUAGAAGCUAUGAAUGGACCAUAGAAUAGUUGGCUCAUUGGUGGAACACUUUUAUACACUAUCCAUU
rnacentral:lncRNA from 1 species